GCAGUGGCUGACGCUAUACAUGCAGGUCGAGCGCCCCAGCAAGGGGAGCGGCAGACGGGUGAGUAACGCGUGGGAAUCUACCCUUUUCUACGGAAUAACGCAGGGAAACUUGUGCUAAUACCGUAUACGCCCUUCGGGGGAAAGAUUUAUCGGGAAAGGAUGAGCCCGCGUUGGAUUAGCUAGUUGGUGGGGUAAAGGCCUACCAAGGCGACGAUCCAUAGCUGGUCUGAGAGGAUGAUCAGCCACAUUGGGACUGAGACACGGCCCAAACUCCUACGGGAGGCAGCAGUGGGGAAUAUUGGACAAUGGGCGCAAGCCUGAUCCAGCCAUGCCGCGUGAGUGAUGAAGGCCCUAGGGUUGUAAAGCUCUUUCACCGGUGAAGAUAAUGACGGUAACCGGAGAAGAAGCCCCGGCUAACUUCGUGCCAGCAGCCGCGGUAAUACGAAGGGGGCUAGCGUUGUUCGGAAUUACUGGGCGUAAAGCGCACGUAGGCGGACAUUUAAGUCAGGGGUGAAAUCCCGGGGCUCAACCCCGGAACUGCCUUUGAUACUGGGUGUCUAGAGUAUGGAAGAGGUGAGUGGAAUUCCGAGUGUAGAGGUGAAAUUCGUAGAUAUUCGGAGGAACACCGGUGGCGAAAGCGGCUCACUGGUCCAUUACUGACGCUGAGGUGCGAAAGCGUGCGGGACAAAACCGAGAAAACC
rnacentral:rRNA from 1 species